rnacentral:rRNA from 1 species
AGCGGAUGAGAGGAGCUUGCUCCUGGAUUCAGCGGCGGACGGGUGAGUAAUGCCUAGGAAUCUGCCUGGUAGUGGGGGACAACGUUUCGAAAGGAACGCUAAUACCGCAUACGUCCUACGGGAGAAAGCAGGGGACCUUCGGGCCUUGCGCUAUCAGAUGAGCCUAGGUCGGAUUAGCUAGUUGGUGAGGUAAUGGCUCACCAAGGCGACGAUCCGUAACUGGUCUGAGAGGAUGAUCAGUCACACUGGAACUGAGACACGGUCCAGACUCCUACGGGAGGCAGCAGUGGGGAAUAUUGGACAAUGGGCGAAAGCCUGAUCCAGCCAUGCCGCGUGUGUGAAGAAGGUCUUCGGAUUGUAAAGCACUUUAAGUUGGGAGGAAGGGUUGUAGAUUAAUACUCUGCAAUUUUGACGUUACCGACAGAAUAAGCACCGGCUAACUCUGUGCCAGCAGCCGCGGUAAUACAGAGGGUGCAAGCGUUAAUCGGAAUUACUGGGCGUAAAGCGCGCGUAGGUGGUUUGUUAAGUUGGAUGUGAAAUCCCCGGGCUCAACCUGGGAACUGCAUCCAAAACUGGCAAGCUAGAGUAUGGUAGAGGGUGGUGGAAUUUCCUGUGUAGCGGUGAAAUGCGUAGAUAUAGGAAGGAACACCAGUGGCGAAGGCGACCACCUGGACUGAUACUGACACUGAGGUGCGAAAGCGUGGGGAGCAAAC